AGUCGCACCAGUGGGAGCACGACAACGAGGCCGUCUGCCGCUGGCUCGAGGCGCAGGCCGACGACCACGACUCGGUGCUCGAGCGCAACCUGCGCGCCAUCAAGCAGGACGCCGUCGUGCAGACCGUCAACCGCCUCGUCAUGGAGCUGACGCCGUCUCAGCGCACGGAGUUCGUGAGAAAACUCACGACCCUCGGGAUGGAACCGGACUUCAGCAACUGAUCGUCGCCGGUGGCAGUUUUGCGAGGAAAAUGCAUCCUAUUUGUUAUGUAGUGAAGUCGAGAAUCGAUUGUAAUGUUGGGAUUUUAUAAAUACUAUUUAUUUUGUAUACUUUUAGUUGUUCAAUUGUCUUCUCGAUCGUCGAAGGUUGCCGAGGAGCACGUGACACGUGAUCACUUUACGUAAACUCUUCAAAUGACAGUUUUAUAAAUGGUCGUUUGACAAAUUAGUUUAUAGGAUCAGCAGUUCGGAUCGCUAACUUUGUCGAGAAGUGUUUGCGACGUGACCGUUUGUCACAUGUUCUUCAUCGACCUCGUUGAGACGUCGUGUAUAGAUUUAUAUGAUAGUUAAUAUGAGACAAUAUACUGCAGCCGCGUGACGUAACGGCGCACCCGGCUUCGCUUGUCCAAUUUGAAGAAUUAAUGCCAAAUAUGUCUACAUUAACGGAAGUAAAAUAGUUUGAAUAGUUCGAACUGUAUCGAGAUGAAAGGAUCUCCACUGUUCCAAACGGAAGGAGUAAAGAUAACACUGUUUCACUUUAUGCCCAUUUUAAUUUAACUUCCAAAGCUCCGACGACAGCUUUGCCGGCUUUGAAGACGCAAUUAUUUCGCGUCCAUAGAGAAUGUCAUAGAUUAUCGGCCUCGGCCAAUGAUAUCGCGUGAGAUCAGCAUAGAAGUGGUUUAUUGAUCUCUACUCUUGCGGUUGGAAUGGGGUGUGGAGCUGAAUCUGCUGUCACGGGGUAGCUCCGUGACGAAUCUUCAGUGAUUGUUAAAACUUCGUAUUCGAGAAAUGCAAUGUGCCUAAAUUCAUGGCGCACGGAUUUUUAUAUGUACAUAGAAUACUAGAAUGACUGCCAUAUUGAAGCAAUAAAUAUAUAGCUAUAUAUUUAAAAUGAUUUAAAAAUCAUUUAUCGUGUAUAUUGUAACGUAGUUAGUGGUACGCAAAGGAGAGGCCGCAGUUCCGAUUUAUGUAAUAAGUAACCGUUACGUGUCCCUCUCUGUUAGGGGGUGAAAUCAAAUGGAAUUAUUUAAGUUAGAAAUCGUGAUAGAAAAAUUGUUAAAAGUUAAAUACAUUUGAACAACUAAAAUUAUUGAUUUGGAAGCAAAAAUAAUUGUAAAAAUGAUUCGAAACGCAAUCAGAUCGUCGGUUAUCUCUCAGUGAAAGUACGUUUUCGGCAAUGGCUGACAUUCGCGCGUCGCGUAUCAUGACAAAUAUUGUGUAAGUAGAUAAUAUCCUCAUGCGUUGCCUAUUUCGGUGUAAAAGUUACAUGAACAUAGGUCCGUCCGAUGUUAGCGAAUUUUAUCGAAUUAUCCACUUGAAAGAAUAUAAAUAUAAUUGUAAGUUUGUUGAUGGGAGCUGCGGGAGGGCCGUGACGUGACGCAGCGAGUAUUCGUAGCGAGCUGGCGGCGUUCGAUAUGGACGAAUAUGUAUUUAAUAUUCAAAUGUGACCAAACUCAUAGCAAUUGUAAUAUCUUUCCGAGAAAGCUCAAAGGAAACAAUUUUUUCUUCUGACGGUACAUCAAAUUAUUGGACCAAUACUCGACAAUACUGUGCGCAAUCGUUUCUUAUUGGGUCGGUAAUUUUCGUUGCUUUAAGAGUACCGUCACUGACAUAUAGCACGUGUAUGUAUAUAAGGCUUUAAAUAUACAUAUAUAACAAGAGGCGCGCCCUCGUCGCUCGGUACGUCACGGCCGUUGGAUAACGCACUCUAAUUGCAAUUAAAGCGUAAUAAAUAAUAAUUGGGUUUUAAGGAGAACGCACGGAGAGCAUUCGCGUUUAACGUUCAGACACCAGCGGUACACGUAUUCGUUCAUUUAGACUAAUUGCAUUUUAUGUGUAUUUAUUAAUUUAUUUUCCUUAUUACACCUAGCUCGCACGCCCGCAGUUGUCGAAGGUCGUCUAGCAAUAAGUAUAUUAGCAAUGGGACAGAAAUAUUCUAGAACAUUCUUUAAUUGCCUAGAACAAUAGGCUUAUGUAACAUAACAGUUACGUUAGACGCGAGUGCUCCCAGUGUACAGCCUCCCUGUGUGAUAGUUGCUGUCGGGGUACAUUUUUAAUUAAUUUAUUAACUCAUUCUAAGACGUGUUCUCUUUUCGAUCCGCUUCGUGCGUUACGGAAACAUAUCGAACAGCCGACGUAGUGAAUAU